UACGUAGGGUGCGAGCGUUGUUCGGAAUCAUUGGGCGUAAAGCGCGUGUAGGUGGUUUGGUAAGUCGAUUGUGAAAUCCCUGGGCUCAACCGAGGAAGUGCAUUCGAAACUGCCAAGCUAGAGGACGGUAGAGGGAGGUGGAAUUCCAAGUGUAGAGGUGAAAUUCGUAGAUAUUUGGAGGAAUACCGGCGGCGAAGGCGGCCUCCUGGGCCGUUCCUGACACUGAGACGCGAAAGCGUGGGGAGCAAACAGG
rnacentral:rRNA from 1 species